UACCGAGGGUGCAAGCGUUGUCCGGAAUUACUGGGCGUACAGCGCACGUAGGUGGCGUGGUACGUUGGGGGUGAAAUCCCGAGGCUCACCCUCGGAACUGCCUUCAAAACUGGCGACCUGGACUCAAGUAGAGGCAAGUGGAAUUGCGAGUGUAGAGGUGAAAUUCGUAGAUAGUCGCAGGAACACCAGUGGCGAAGGCGACUUGCUGGACUUGUAGUGACGCUGAGACGCGAAAGCGUGGGGAGCAAACAGG
rnacentral:rRNA from 1 species